rnacentral:lncRNA from 1 species
CGAUUGUUUGGAGUGGUGAGAAGUGCAGAGUGAGAGAGACGGAAGCACUAUGGCAUUUGGUUUUUCCUUAUUUUCUUUUCUUCAAUUUAUUAUUAAACAGAAUAAGUAUUUUUUUUUAAAAAGAAAACAUUAAAAAAAUUUCGUUUAAUUUUCCUAGGUUAUUAGUUAAUAACUGUUUUAUGUUUUCAAUUCAUUCCCCAUUGUAAACCCAACAGCCAUGCGGCUGGGUUUAAUUACUAGUAGACCAACAGUUUUUUA